UUAAAGUUUAAAUUUAGCUUAUUUUUUUGGUGGGGGAUUUAUUUACAUGUGAAAUUAAAUAUGGGGGUAUUUUAAAUAAAAGCAUGUACAGUAAAUAAAAUUAAGUAUGAACGUAAGUUUGACUUAGAAAUUCAAAAAACAUAAGUGAAGUUUGUGCCAGCAGCUGCGGUUAAACAAACUAUGUGACUUAAAAUGUUUAGAAUUAAUUAAUUUGUUUUAAAAGUUUAAUUAGGGGUAAUAUUUGGGGGGUGAAAUAAAAAUAUUACUUUUAUUAUAAAAAUUUUAAUGAGGUUAAGAAAAUUUGGUUUGAAACUAGGAUUAGAUACCCUAUUAUAAAAAUGUUAAUUGGAGUUUCUAAUUUAGUGAAAGUUAAGGUCUUUAAAGUUAAAAAUUUUGGCGGUAUUUUAAUCUUUUCAGAGGAAUCUGUUCAGUAAAUGAUAUUCCACGAUAAAUUGUACUUUUAUCAUAGUUUACAUAUCGUUGUAUAGAAUAUUUUUUUAGAAUUUUAAUAUUAGUGGUUUUUAUUCAAAAAAUAAAUCAAAUCAAGAUGUAGCUGAUAUAGAAGUUGAAAUGGGUUACAGUAAUAUUAAUUAUUAUGGAUUUAGGAUUGAAAAUUUUAAUGAAGGUGGAUUUGAGAGUAAUUUGAAAAAUUUAUUUUAAAUGAUUAUAGUUUUAAAAUAUGUACAUAUUGCCCGUCGCUUUCAUUAUAAGAUGAAAUAAGUCGUAACAAAGUAGGUGUACUGGAAAGUGUACCUGGAAGGGGGAUUUAUA
rnacentral:ncRNA from 1 species